rnacentral:rRNA from 1 species
UACAGAGGAGCCAAGCGUUGUCCGGAUUGACUGGGCGUAAAGCGCGCGCAGGCGGCCUCGCGCGCCCGACGUGAAAGCCCCCGGCUUAACCGGGGAGGGUCGUUGGGGACGGCGGGGCUUGAGGGCGGGAGAGGUCGGUGGAAUUCCCGGUGUAGUGGUGAAAUGCGUAGAGAUCGGGAGGAACACCUGUGGCGAAGGCGGCCGACUGGGCCGACCCUGACGCUGAGGCGCGAAGGCGUGGGGAGCGAACGGG